rnacentral:rRNA from 1 species
GACGUAGGGCGCGAGCGUUGUCCGGAUUUAUUGGGCGUAAAGAGCUCGUAGGCGGCCUGUUAAGUCGGACGUGAAAUCCCUCGGCUCAACCGGGGAACUGCGUCCGAUACUGGCGGGCUUGAAUUCGGGAGAGGGAUGUGGAAUUCCAGGUGUAGCGGUGAAAUGCGUAGAUAUCUGGAGGAACACCGGUGGCGAAGGCGGCAUCCUGGACCGACAUUGACGCUGAGGCGCGAAAGCCAGGGGAGCAAACGGG